AUUGAACGCUGGCGGCAGGCCUAACACAUGCAAGUCGAAUGGUAACAGGAAACAGCUUGCUGUUUCGCUGACGAGUGGCGGACGGGUGAGUAAUGUCUGGGAAACUGCCUGAUGGAGGGGGAUAACUACUGGAAACGGUAGCUAAUACCGCAUAACGUCGCAAGACCAAAGAGGGGGGACCUUCGGGCCUCUUGCCAUCAGAUGUGCCCAGAUGGGAUUAGCUAGUAGGUGGGGUAACGGCUCACCUAGGCGACGAUCCCUAGCUGGUCUGAGAGGAUGACCAGCCACGCUGGAACUGAGACACGGUCCAGACUCCUACGGGAGGCAGCAGUGGGGAAUAUUGCACAAUGGGCGCAAGCCUGAUGCAGCCAUGCCGCGUGUAUGAAG
rnacentral:rRNA from 1 species